ACGAAGGUGGCAAGCGUUACUCGGAAUUACUAGGCGUAAAGGGCAGGUAGGUGGUUUGGUUAGUCUGUUGUGAAAGCUCCUUGCUUAACGGGGAGAGGUCAACAGAUACUGCCAGACUUGAGUUCGGGAGAGGGAAGCGGAAUUCCGGGUGUAGCGGUGAAAUGCGUAGAUAUCCGGAGGAACACCGGUGGCGAAGGCGGCUUCCUGGACCGACACUGACGCUGAGGCGCGAAAGCUAGGGGAGCAAACGGGA
rnacentral:rRNA from 1 species